AUACGGAGGGUCCAAGCGUUAUCCGGAAUCAUUGGGUUUAAAGGGUCCGUAGGCGGGCAAUUAAGUCAGAGGUGAAAUCCCACAGCUCAACUGUGGAACUGCCUUUGAUACUGGUUGUCUUGAAUUAUAGUGAAGUAGAUAGAAUAUGUAGUGUAGCGGUGAAAUGCUUAGAUAUUACAUAGAAUACCGAUUGCGAAGGCAGUCUACUAACUGUAUAUUGACGCUGAUGGACGAAAGCGUGGGGAGCGAACAGGAUUAGAAACCCGAGUAGUCC
rnacentral:rRNA from 1 species